GCUACUGUCUGUAGAAGACUGUCUAUUGUGCCUUGAAUACACAAUAGUGACUUUGCAGGGUCAUCUCCUGGAUAACAUGAUAUCACUACCCAAACAGUUGAGGCUGAGACUGGAUCAGGCCCAGCGGAGCAUAGAGAAACGAGAAUAAGCUUUCGUGUUAGAAUCCUGCCUAUGUGAUCUUCAGCAACUUCCUUUACAUCUCUGAGCCACUUCAUUUAUCUGGAGAAUGGGGCUAAAUCUUUCUUCCUCUUCGAGGUUGUUUUUUUUUUUUUUUGUUUUUUUUUUUUGAGGCUUACAGCCAAUAAUGUAAGGCAGCUGCCAUGCAGUAAACAAUAAAUCAAAGGCAACACCUGGGCCUCAGAACUGCGCAAUGGGUGCCCCGUGAAAUCCAGUUCCACUGUGAACUAUGCUGGCAUCCAUCAAGGCUUUUUACCUCCUGCCUCUGGGUUUGAAAUGGGUCUCCAAGACUUCCACCAUCCACAAGUGAUCCAGAAACGGCUGUGGCAAUACCCAAGCCUCCUUUGAAGGCAGGUCUGGGUCUGGUUCUCUUUGGAUCCCAACACCACAAGGUACUUGAAUUAUUUAUUUUGAAAGGAUUAAAGAAGCCACUGCUUGUCAAAUCUUGAACUAAACGAGUAACACAAAUUCUCAUAGCAUCCUUAAGCCGGCCACGUGAGUGAAGGGGGUGCUGUAAUUACCAUCCUAAUCUUACGGGUGUGGCAAAUAAAGCAGGGAGGAUAAAUCCUAUG
rnacentral:antisense_RNA from 1 species